rnacentral:lncRNA from 1 species
AUCCAAGUGCCUCCUCUUCUUGUCGGCCCAUUUCUUCAUCUUCUUGGAGGCCUUGUCAAGGUAUGCACGAGCUAGGUCCGUUUGCUCGUGCCAAGUCUUCGCCGUCUUGAACGCCGCUGGACUCUUCCCCGUAUAUUUGUUGACAAGUCCAUGCGGUGUUAAGGGUUGUUGUCCAGUUGCAAGCUCGAAUGGGCUCUUGCUAGUAGCCUCACUCCGUUGCAAAUUAUAAGAGAAUUGGGCAACGUCAAGCAGCU